CCGUCUGUAGCGCAGUCCGGUAGCGCGCUCGCUUUGGGAGCGAGAUGUCGGGGGUUCGAAUCCAUCCAGGCGGACCA
rnacentral:tRNA from 1 species